rnacentral:rRNA from 1 species
AACGAACGCUGGCGGCGUGGAUUAGGCAUGCAAGUCGAACGAGAAAAGUUCCUUCGGGAACUGAGUACAGUGGCAAACGGGUGAGUAACGCGUGGGAAACCUGCCCUUCAGUUGGGGACAACACUCCUAACGGGGUGCUAAUACCGGAUACCAUCACGGAGUUGCAUGACUCUGUGAUGAAAGGCGGCCUCUGCUUGCAAGCUGUCGCUGAAGGAUGGUCCCGCGUCCCAUUAGCUAGUUGGUGAGGUAACGGCUCACCAAGGCGACGAUGGGUAGCCGAUCUUAGCGGAUGACCGGCCACACUGGGAUUGAGAUACGGCCCAGACUCCUACGGGAGGCUG